UGAUGAUACACAUCUUCUUCUUCUCGACAAGAUAACAUCUCUCUCUUCUCUCUCUUCCUCCGGUCGUCCUAGUCCGAUCAAGCAGUUAAACCGUGCGUGUUAGGAGCCAGGAGCUUCAGCAAGCGACGGAUCUGGUCAUCAGAUUUGUGUGCGGUGGUUGGAGAAGAGAGAUGGGCCCAGAUGAUCCGUUUGGCGAAUCUAGCCAAGCCCGAAGAUGGUUUGUUCGAUCUCUACCGUGCGUCCGACCGUAGCUGAUCCCACCCAGCUUGGUAUGAAGUCCUUACAGUGCGCCUGAUCGUAGCGGAUCCCACCCAGUGACGGUUGUUUCGUACAAUUCAAAAUGUUCCUUAAGUUAGAAGUUCAUGAAUUCAAAAUCUUCCUUAUGGUGCAUCUGAUCGUAGCUGAUCACAGCCCGAUGAAAAAGAAGGAGGAAAAGCUAAACAGCAGACCUGGACUCCGAUCAAAGAAGCUGUGGAUGAUUUUUGGACAGCUUUUCUCACUCCACCUCAAGGCCAUUUGCUCUCAUGGAGCAUGACAAGAGAUUCCCAGAUGACUUCCUCCCUGGAUUCAUGGAAGAGUUGGAACUACGCCGUGGCUUGAAUCCAUCGGAUGAUCCAGUGUAUAAGGCGAUGGCUGACCUCGUUGAAGAGUACGAUCUUGGCUGGAAUCCAUCGGAUGAUCCAGAGUAUGAGACUCCAAUGAAGAUCAUGAACCAACAUUACAAGGAGCUUAGAGAGACAAGAUCAAGAAAAAGGAAAGAAAGAAGAGGGGGAAGCUGACGAAGAGGGAGGAAAAGGAAAUGGAGAUUGAAAUUGUCCCUACAGCUCAAGAGAUCGAAGAAAACAAGAAGAAGAUGAGGAAAAAUUUGGAAGUCUCUCAAAGCCAAUAUGAAGAGUCUCAGAGAGCUCUUGUUCGUUCCAACAAGUUUGCAAGAUAUGUGACUAGGUAUGCAGCCAAGGUUAAGAACGUCACAAGUCAAGGCUAGUCACUUUUCUGGUAUAAGUCUGUGGUCACUUUUCUGGAUUAAGUCUGUGUAGUGUUACCUAUAUGGAAUAAGUAGUGUUUUGAUAUGUUUUCUUGCUAGUGUUACCUAUAUGGAAUAAGUAGUAGUUUUUGAUAUGUAGGCUGCUACUGUUUACUAAUCAACGUUUUCUUGCAACUGUUCUUCUUCUGUUCAACAAUAUAAAUAUCAAUGAAAUUGUGCUUCUCUGCUGUGGCUAA